rnacentral:rRNA from 1 species
UGGGGAAUAUUGGACAAUGGGCGAAAGCCUGAUCCAGCCAUGCCGCGUGUGUGAAGAAGGUCUUCGGAUUGUAAAGCACUUUAAGUUGGGAGGAAGGGCAGUAAGCGAAUACCUUGCUGUUUUGACGUUACCGACAGAAUAAGCACCGGCUAACUCUGUUCCAGCAGCCGCGGUAAUACAGAGGGUGCAAGCGUUAAUCGGAAUUACUGGGCGUAAAGCGCGCGUAGGUGGUUCGUUAAGUUGAAUGUGAAAGCCCCGGGCUCAACCUGGGAACUGCAUCCGAAACUGGCGAGCUAGAGUAGGGCAGAGGGUGGUGGAAUUUCCUGUGUAGCGGAGAAAUGCGUAGAUAUAGGAAGGAACACCAGUGGCGAAGGCGACCACCUGGGCUCAUACUGACACUGAGGUGCGAAAGCGUGGGGAGCAAACAGG